GAUAAUGGCCUUAUAAUUAUAUUAUAUCCAGUCUUGUUGUAUUAUAAUACAUUUUAUUUAUAAUUAUAUGGUGUCGGUUAGUUGGUCUCAUACUUUUGUGAACCCUUAAGGUUACAUAGCAUUAUUUUGUGUUAUGUAUUGUAAUUAUUUUUGGUACCAUCAUGCAAUAUUUAUACCAAGAAAACUUGUAAUGUUGUAUUCUGUCUGUUGUAGUGUAGACUGUAGUGGAAUUUCUUAUUUUCUCCUGUAGUUGUAGUUGUAUGGAAUGAACGACUCUUACAUUUGUUGUGCAUUUUACAUUUACCCUUUCAGAAUCAAUUAACUAGACCAAGUUUAAUUCUCAAGCCUAUUCUGAGGCGGAAGUAAAAUGUUAUAAGAAAGAAUUGAGAAGGAAACUAAGAUCAUGGCUAGUCCAAGAACUUGUCAGAUCUUCCAAGACUUAAAGACAAAGAAUGAAAACAAUAACUGCUUUGAAUGUGGGACUUGUAACCCUCAAUGGGCCAGUGUAACUUAUGGAAUACUGAUCUGUUUAGAGUGUUCUGGCAAACAUCGAGGAUUGGGUGUUCAUCUGAGUUUUGUUAGGUCAGUAUUUAUGGACAAGUGGAAAGAUGUGGAACUAGAGAAGAUGAAGGUUGGAGGAAACAAGAAGGCACAAGAUUUUCUGGAAAAACAACCAGACUGGAAUUCCAGUAUGCCGUUUAGGGAAAAAUACAAUACUAAAGCAGCAGCACUUUACCGAGAUAAGAUUGUAACUGAAUCUCAAGGAAAGACCUGGUCUGUUGAAACAUCACCAGCAAUGAAUUAUCAUCCAGGGAGCUCAUCAGGAGGUACUGCAGAUUUCAACAUUGAACAACAAGGAUCUAGAAGUAACUCUUGCAGUCAGAUUUGUGACUGGGAAGAAGGUUGUUCUAGUUACCAGAGAUCCGGCUAUACUGAUCCCAGCAAUUCUAGCAAGAAAAAUUCAUUCAUUGUAAAAUAUCAAGAAACCAAUUUAUCAAGACCUGAGAAUAUUCCACUCCAUCAAGGAGGAAAAUAUAUUGGUUUUGGAAAUACGCCUGUUCAGCCACCGCGGAGUCAAUCUCAAGGGCUUCUCAAUGAAGUGUGGGCCUCGCUGUCUUCUGGCUGGACAAGUCUUUUUGUAGGAUCAACAAAUUUUGCUUCCAAAGCUUCGGAAGAGACUGUGAAAUUUCGUAGUCUGGCUUCUCAAAGAAUAUCAGAACUCACAGAUAUCGUGACUGAAAAGGUAGCAGAUGUGAGCAAGAAAAGGUGGAAAGAUCUCUCUGUGAAGUUUAACCAAAAAAGCACUACAUUAGAUACAGUAUUGGGAUCUCCAAGUGAAGCAUCAUCCCUACUUGUAGUUCACUCUCAGCCACUUACAAAGAUAGAAAGUUUCGUCUUGUAACUGUUCCGGUAAGCAGUGAACGAAUGGAUUGGUUACAAGUAGCUCAGCUAGGCCAUCAGGCAAUGGCGGGAGAAAAGGGGUCGUCUCGUCAUGUACGGAAAGGUUAUCUUGUCGGGGAUUUAUCAAAAAACCAAGAUCCAGAUAAGAGUAAUACCCCGUUACUGCAAGACCAACUUCAGAGCCCAGACAGAGACUCGGCCGAAGACUGGGGAUGCAAGAGCAGUCCAGAUAACAGUUCACUUACCAAGGGUGG
rnacentral:misc_RNA from 1 species